rnacentral:rRNA from 1 species
AUUGAACGCUUGCGGCAGGCCUAACACAUGCAAGUCGAACGAGUGGCGGACGGGUGAGUAAUGUCUUGGAAACUGCCUGAUGGAGGGGGCUAACUGCUUGAAACGGUAGCUAAUACCGCAUACCCUCGGAUGUGACUAUAUGGGAUUAGUUGGUAGGGGGAGUAAAGGCUCACCUAGGCUACGAUCCCUAGCUUGUCUGAGGGGAUGACCAGCCACACGGGAACUGUGACACGGCCCAGAAUACUUAGGGAGGACGCAGUGGGGAAUAUUGCGCUAUGGGGGCAAUCCUGAGGCAGCCAGGCCGCGUGUAUGAAGAGGGCGUUCGGGUUGUAGAGUACUUUCAGCGGUGAGGCGUUACCCGCAGAGGAAGCAACGGCUAACUUCGUGCCAGCCGCCGCGGUAAUUC